CGAACCCUCCGCCAUACUCCAUUAGCACUUCCGCGCUUUGAAAAGAAACUCCCGUAAUUAGAAAGAACAACAAGGGCAGGGGGCGACAUUUCAAUGUUAGUUAAACUAAUUGGUGGUUUCUCUUUAAAUCGGCGGAUGUCCCAGCGACUGUAGCCGUGAAUGAGCCGGGACAAAACUACGCUAAACGGAACCGGUUUUCCUGGUUUCGGCACAGCGAAUGCAUGGCGGCGGUCGGCGGAAAUCGGUGAAAAACCAAACGGAAUUCUGCCUUCCUUCCGUGGUGAGGGUGAUGACGAGGAUCGACAGGACCAGAACCCCGGCCCCUGUCGGCCCCCUGCCCACCAUUACCGCUCCUUCCAUAGCAGCCUGCAGUCCAAAUGCAUACUGCUUGCUUCCGGACCGGCCGCACCGCUUCCAACUGCACCAAACGGCCGAUAUGGAGGACCACCGGAGCGGGUACGGGAAUGGUGCUCAGGUUGUGGCUCUUAUUCGGCCUCAAGUUCCAGUGAUUGACUCACUAUUAUGGAGGGGUCGCUGGAGCCUAUCUCAGCUACAUUCGGGCGGAAGGCGGGGUACCUGGACAAGUCGCCACCUCAUCGCAAUCUAAUUUUCCUUGUGUGUGUCCCCUGAGUCGAUCUGUGUGUCUCGCACUCCUGGAUCUUCCCACUCUUCCUCGUGCUUCCUGGUUGUCGACCCCUCGCCUACCCCUGGACUACGACGCCUCGCUCCUGCCUCUCGACCACUCUUCAAUCAAUCAAUCAAUGUUUAUUUAUAUAGCCCUAAAUCAAAAGUGUCUCAAAGGGCUACACAAGCCACAACGACAUCCUCGGUACAGAGCCCACAUAAGGGCUCUGCCCCCGGACUACCCUGCAUGCCUUGCCCUUGUCUGACAGCACCGCUCCUCUCAACACGCACCUCCAACAUUUACGGUAACACUUUCCAGUUAAAUACUACACAUAGUCUGACACUCAUGCUCUUUUGGUUAACUACACAUCAUAUAUUUAUAUCUUUAAUAAAUACGCCCAUGGCUAAACGCU